GAUGAACGCUGGCGGCGUGCCUAAUACAUGCAAGUCGAGCGAACAGAUGAGGAGCUUGCUCCUCUGACGUUAGCGGCGGACGGGUGAGUAACACGUGGAUAACCUACCUAUAAGACUGGGAUAACUUCGGGAAACCGGAGCUAAUACCGGAUAAUAUAUUGAACCGUAUGGUUCAAUAGUGAAAGACGGUUUUGCUGUCACUUAUAGAUGGAUCCGCGCCGCAUUAGCUAGUUGGUAAGGUAACGGCUUACCAAGGCAACGAUGCGUAGCCGACCUGAGAGGGUGAUCGGCCACACUGGAACUGAGACACGGUCCAGACUCCUACGGGAGGCAGCAGUAGGGAAUCUUCCGCAAUGGGCGAAAGCCUGACGGAGCAACGCCGCGUGAGUGAUGAAGGUCUUCGGAUCGUAAAACUCUGUUAUUAGGGAAGAACAAAUGUGUAAGUAACUAUGCACGUCUUGACGGUACCUAAUCAGAAAGCCACGGCUAACUACGUGC
rnacentral:rRNA from 1 species